rnacentral:lncRNA from 1 species
CUGGAUUACGAUUGGCCGAUCCCUGAAACGCUCGACCAUAGAGUUGGCGGGACUCAGAGGUUCCAUAACCUCGCGCACAAGAUGGCGACCAAGGUUCACUGCUACAACAUGGUGACCUCCUGGAGAACAGGGACGUGUGGUGUUUCUCUUUGUAUUUGUCUUUUGUUCCCAGAACAGGGAUUGUCAAUGAGGUAGAUCAGAUUCCCAUUCGACGGGCAACCAGUCAAUGAAACAGACACACCUGCACAGUUGGAAAUGGAGGAUGAAGAUACAAUUGAUGUGUUCCAACAGCAGACGGGAGGUGUCUACUGAAAAGGGAACCUGCUUCUUUACUCCAGAACUCUGUUCUUUAAAGA